UUUUAUUUUUAGUAGAGACAGGGUUUCACCACGUUGGCCAGGCUUGUCUCAAACUCGUGACCUCAGGUGAUCUGCCCACCUUGGCAUCCCAAAGUGCUGGGAUUACAGGAGUGAGCCACCAACCAGUCAACCUGGGAGACUUUUACCUGCAUAACAGGAAGACCUUUGUUCACCAUACAUUUCCUCCCCUCAUUCUCUCAUAACUUGUGUGGCCACCACACCCGCAGAAGCUGCAAGCCCCUGUUCCCUUCUGUAGCUCAGGAUGCCAUAUAAGCUCCAAUCAUCAGUCUUUCUUUGAGUCAUAUUUUGUGGGUCUCUGUGCGUAUGAUCAUAAUUAAAUAUGAUUUUUCUCCUGUUAAUCUGUCUUAUGCCAAUUUAAUUCAUAGCCCAGCCAAGGGACCUAGAAGGGUGGAAGGAAAUCAUUUUCACUCCCCUACAGUGGCAUAAUCUGGUUUCAUACGGUCAUAUUUUAGGGUGGCAUAUUUUGUUCUCCUCCAUAAAUCAUGUUUAGCAUUUUAAAAUUUGAACAGAAUGGAAAAUAUCAAGGUGUGUAUCCCAAAUAGUAGGAAUAGGUAUUUUUUCUUUUAUUUAAGUCAUGUGUGUGCAUGGGUGAUAUGGUUUGGCUGUGUCCCCACCCAAAUCUCAUCUUGAAUUUCCACGUGUCAUGGGAGGGACCCCAUGGGAGGUAAUUGAAUCAUGGGGGCAGGUCUUUCCCAUGCUAUUUUCGUGAUGGUGAAUAAGUCUCACAAGAUCUGUUGGCUUAAUAAAGAGGAAUUUCCCUGCACAAGCUCUCUCUCUUGGCCUGCUGCCAUCCAUGGAAGAUGUGACUUGCUUCACCUUGCCUUCCACCAUGAUUGUGACCCCUCCCCAGCCAAGUGGAACUGUGCAUCUAUCAAACCUCUUUCUUUUGUAAAUUGCCCAGUCUCAGGUAUGUCUCUAUCAGCAGCGUGAAAAUGGACUAAUACAAUUGAUAUGCGUGUUGUGAUAUAAAAUCUAAGUCUUUUCCACCACAGCACACAUACUAACACUACUUGUUUCUGUGGUAAAUAAUGGAAGUAAAAAUAAAUGGAGCUGUUUUUGCUUUGCUGUACUUUUCAACUGCAGCAUUUGUGCAUUCCAAGAGUGGGAGAAGAAUUCAUCUUGGGAAAGAAUGUAUCUUUUGUUUGGGAAAAACGUCUUAAUGGGCCCUGUGGUUAUGCAAAGGUAGCCCUGUCUCCAGAAUGACGGGAAGGUCCCUGUUUGGGAGGAAAAACCUCAGAGGAAGUGGAAGGUAUGCAGAGCCUGUGAUGGAGGAGCCAGAGAGAUCCAGGAGAAGCUGGAAGCAGCAGAGUGGCAGGAGACCAGUGACUGUGAGGGUGGAUGUACUUCCAGGAAUUCUUGGCAAUUUGGAAAGGGGUUAGAAUUCCUCUGGCUGCAGAGCAUGUUCUUUUCUUUGAUUAUUUAAGUAAAGGGUAAUUCUGGAAGGUUGGAAAAUGUAGGACACCCACUACGUAAAAAUCAGGAAGGUACUAACCUAUAGCUUCAAGCAAGACUCAUCAGGACUAUGAGCCUCACCACCACUACCAUCAUGGUUAUUACCACCAUCUCCUACCACAGGGCAAAGCUGAGUGACCCUGGUAGGCAGAAUAAUGGCCCCCCAAAGACGCCCAAGUCCUAAUCCUCAAAACCUGAAAAUAUGUUACAGUACAUAGCAAAGGGGAAUUAAGGUUGCCAAUCCCUUGACCUUAAAAUAGAAAGGGCACCCUAGAUUAUGCAGGUAGGCCCAAUGUAAUCAUAUAGAUCUAUAGAAAGUAAAAAGUUUCCUCUUCAAAGUUUCCCUUCUUGUUAAAAAAUAAAUCAUAAGUGUUAGAAAUAAUAGUUUCUUUUAAAGACUUUCUUCAAACCUCUUUGAUCUGUGCUAAUAACUCUUUGUUAAGCCCUAUCCCAUAUAGCUGUUGGACAUGCUCACAGGCACGUUCCAGCUCACAGCCUAUGCCCCUUCCUUAUUUGGAAAUGUUAUUGCUUCUUUAAAUCUUUUGUAAGCAACUUCCUCCUUUCCUUUGUUCUCCCUUGCCUUCACCUAUUUAAGAAAGUUUUAGCUUGUUAGCAAAUCGGGUAUCAGUUUAGACUAUGAGGUUUGGCUCCAGCUAGUGGAUGCAGGACACAGCAGUAAGAACGACCCAAAUGCGUAAGAGAUAAAUAUGUCUGCUUUUCCUUUGUUCAGUAUACUCUCGUGGCAAGAUGGCUGGCGAGUGUACCCUUUCUGCAGAAAGUAAAAAUUGCCUUGUUGAGAGAAUUAAAUUUAUGUUCAAGUGCUAUUUCUUUAUGGCACCAGGGAACAAGCAUUUUGCAUUCCUAACAGAUCCUUAAAUGUGGAAGAGGGAGGCAAAAGAGUGUUAAAAUAUACCCCCAACAAACAAAGUGGACUCCUUGUGGCUAAAAUGAGACACACCGAAAACAGAAUCUCAUGGCCAGCAGGAUGGAGGAUUAGUCACGAAUCCCAGUGUCGUUAAUGGCCAUAAGGUUUAUUUCCUGUAAUUAAGCAGAAACCACUUCCUGAAAAGCAUUGCCCAAACAACUAUAGCUGGAAAAUUUCCCAAAUGACCCCAAGAUUCUAGCCGACCCAACGCCCCCCUCUUGCCUCCUGCAUACCCAGUCUCCAAUCUCCCCUCCCUCCCCACCACAACUCUGAUUGGACAGAGGACUGGUCUUAUAAACUUUCUUUACUGAUAAAUGGCUGCAGACCUCAAGCCAGUCACAGCCAUUUAGCUUAUAGAGACUGUGCACAAAGUGUCUGUUUACCUUUUGAGAUCAAGAGCCAAAUUCUACCUCAUUUUAAUUCCUGAAACCCCAUCCCAAAGUGAAUGGAAUGUAUGUUAUAGACAUUUACCCACUGUGCACGUGCCAGCCAUCCCUCAUGAAUAUUCAUAGAAUGUCCCCAACCCUGCUCAAUACGCAUGUAAGUCUUGCCCUAUAAGACACAUAUACCAGCUCCCCCUUCCUUCUGUAGGGCGUGUACUUUCGGUUGUCCCUGGAAGCUAUGUUCCUCAAUCCACGAUUGCUUCUCCCUCUGAAAAUAAAGUCUUCUCCUUUCC
rnacentral:lncRNA from 10 species